rnacentral:rRNA from 1 species
CCUACGGGAGGCAGCAGUGAGGAAUAUUGGUCAAUGGACGAGAGUCUGAACCAGCCAAGUAGCGUGAAGGAUGACUGCCCUAUGGGUUGUAAACUUCUUUUAUAUGGGAAUAAAAUGUUCCACGUGUGGGAUUUUGUAUGUACCAUAUGAAUAAGGAUUGGCUAACUCCGUGCCAGCAGCCGCGGUAAUACGGAGGAUCCGAGCGUUAUCCGGAUUUAUUGGGUUUAAAGGGAGCGUAGGUGGAUUGUUAAGUCAGUGGUGAAAGUUUGCGGCUCAACCGUAAAAUUGCAGUUGAAACUGGCAGUCUUGAGUGCAGUAGAGGUGGGCGGAAUUCGUGGUGUAGCGGUGAAAUGCUUAGAUAUCACGAAGAACUCCGAUUGCGAAGGCAGUUCACUGGACUGCAACUGACACUGAGGCUCGAAAGUGUGGGUAUCAAACAGGAUUAGAUACCCCAGUAGUC